UACGGAGGGGCUAGCGUUGUUCGGAAUUACUGGGCGUAAAGCGCACGUAGGCGGCUUUGUAAGUUAGAGGUGAAAGCCCGGGGCUGCAACUCCGGAAUUGCCUUUAAGACUGCAUCGCUAGAAUUGUGGAGAGGUAAGUGGAAUUCCGAGUGUAGAGGUGAAAUUCGUAGAUAUUCGGAAGGAACACCGGUGGCGAAGGCGGCAUCCUGGACCGGCAUUGACGCUGAGGCGGCGAAAGCCAGGGGAGCAAACAGG
rnacentral:rRNA from 1 species